CAAUACAGUGGAGUGAUGUAACCUGGAGUGCUGGGGAGGGGGCUUUGAAUGGAACUGGGUAGCAGGGGCUAUGAAGAACGAUGCCCAGUGGCUCAAGGCAGGAAAGGAGGCCAGUGUGGUGGGGGCCAGGUGGUCCCAGGUAGGGGAUGCAGAUAAGGCUGGGGGUCGCUGGGUUUUCCCUAAGGAUGCAGUGGGAUCCCGGACCUUGUGGGCUUUGAGUCCCAGUCCAGAUCUCAGGUUCUGUCCUGAUGGGGCCCUGACUCAUAUGGACUGGCAAAGCUUUCGGGAUUUGGAAUCUCAGGAUCUGCCCAGCCCUUGUGCCUGGACACAGCACAUAAGUGCGUCCACUGGUCUCUCUCUUCCACUGCCUUCUGUCAGUAGAAGCCACCAAUCGAGAAGCAGGGAGUUUUGAUGUUACACUGGUCUGCUCUGGAGUUUUAUAUUUAUUAGACUGAAUUGCACUUUUUAUCUUCUUAAGAAGGACUAAAAAAGCUGCGAGGCCUGGCAGGGGAUCAGGGAGGAUGAGUGUCCUGAGCAGAGAGGUAGGGUUACCAGGUAUUUCUGUUUGCCCUGAACUGGUCACAUAGCCCCAGUGCCCCUCAGCAGAGAGACAGGGUGAAUGAAGGAGCUGGUGCAGUCAGUCCUAGAGGAGACGCACAGAUGCCUCUGAGAAAGCCGGUUGCAGAUGACACACACCCAGGCUCAGUGCAGGUGACCUGUGGGCAUGCAAAAUAGUACAAUUCAGGGAUGUUUGCUUAUCGCUUAUUAUUUAUUUAUAAUGGUGUCGUAUGGAAUAUUUUAUUGAAAAGGCCAGAAAGGUCUCCUUUACCCACGUGUUUCUGGCUCUGCCCUGGGUGAAUGGAGUGCCCGCAUCUCUCCCUCUUAGCUGGGACCACACAGGAGAUGCUUGCGUGCCUGUCCCUUCACUGCUAGUGAGAGAGUACAGAUGAUGAGAAAAGACACCAGUCGUGGACCAUGUGCAGUGGCUUAUGCCUGUAAUCCCAGCACUUUGAGAGGCUGAGGCGGGCAGAUCACUUGAGGUCAGGAGUUCGAGACCAGCCUGGCCAACAUGGUGAAACCCCAUCUCUACCAAAAAAAAAGACAGCAGCCGUACGCCUAGGACUGACACAUUGUUAUUAUCAUGGACGCUAAUCACAAGAUGUCAUGUGCAGUGGCGUGCAGGUGGUGUGCACGCAGAUCUGCGAACAGCCCACCUGCACGCACCAGCAUACAGAUGAGCUCAAAGAUCGCUUUCCUAGGGCACCGUCACAAGCACUGCAACCUGUGUCCAGCUGCACAAAAGGGCUGAGAGAGUGGCCGCGGCUCUGAUGGAGAAGGGAAGACUGAGUGUUGGGGACCAUGUGGCUCUGGUCUACCCACCAGGGGUGGACCUCAUUGCCGCGUUCUAUGGCUGCUUGUACUGUGGCUGCGUGCCUGUCACCGUGCGGCCCCCGCACCCUCAGAACCUCGGCACCACACUGCCCACCGUCAAGAUGAUCGUGGAGGUCAGCAAGUCUGCAUGCGUCCUCACCACGCAGGCUGUCACACGGCUGCUCAGGUCCAAGGAGGCUGCUGCCGCCGUGGACAUCAGGACCUGGCCCACCAUCCUAGACACAGAUGACAUCCCGAAAAAGAAGGUAGCGAGCAUUUUCAGGCCCCCCUCCCCUGACGUCCUCGCAUACUUGGACUUCAGCGUGUCAACCACUGGGAUAUUAGCGGGAGUGAAGAUGUCACACGCGGCCACAAGCGCCUUAUGCCGCUCCAUAAAGCUGCAGUGUGAGCUGUACCCCUCGCGGCAGAUCGCCAUCUGCCUCGACCCCUACUGUGGCCUUGGUUUUGCCCUGUGGUGUCUGUGCAGUGUCUACUCGGGACACCAAUCAGUGCUGGUGCCCCCGCUGGAGCUGGAGAGCAACGUGUCCCUGUGGCUGUCGGCCGUCAGCCAGUACAAGGCCCGCGUCACCUUCUGCUCCUACUCUGUGAUGGAGAUGUGCACCAAGGGCCUGGGCGCACAGACGGGUGUCCUCAGGAUGAAGGGGGUGAACCUGUCAUGUGUGCGCACGUGCAUGGUGGUCGCCGAGGAGCGGCCCAGGAUUGCGCUGACCCAGUCCUUCUCCAAGCUCUUCAAGGACCUGGGCCUGCCGGCCCGCGCUGUAAGCACCACGUUCGGGUGCAGGGUCAACGUGGCCAUCUGCCUCCAGGUGAGGUGCUUGGGGCCGGCGGUUCUCGAAAGCUGGCUGUUGGCAGCAUGGAGACCCAGUUUCCCAGUUGUUAAUGUGCAGUUUUGUACCCGCCUGAUCUAUUUCUCCUUCUCUGAGCCUUUGAUAUUUCAUUUCCAUGUAACAUUUUAGCUUCAAGGGUUUUAUUUUUAAAGAUAUUCUAUUCUAGUUGAAGAAAGGCUUAUUUGGAAAAAAACACAUUGUUUUUGAACAAUGACUAAUAACUGUAAGACUCUCUAAGUUAGAUAUAAAACACAGCUAAGUUCUUAAAGCAAGAUUGAACUUACUGUUUUAAGAUAUCUAGCAAUAUUAAAUUGAAACAUUAAU
rnacentral:sRNA from 1 species